rnacentral:rRNA from 1 species
AGAACGAACGCUGGCGGCAUGCCUAAUACAUGCAAGUCGAACGAACUCUUCGGAGUUAGUGGCGCACGGGUGCGUAACGCGUGGGAAUCUGCCCCUUGGUUCGGAAUAACAGUUGGAAACGACUGCUAAUACCGGAUGAUGACGAAAGUCCAAAGAUUUAUCGCCAAGGGAUGAGCCCGCGUAGGAUUAGCUAGCUGGUGAGGGUAAGGCUCACCAAGGCAACGAUCCUUAG